rnacentral:rRNA from 1 species
UGGGGAAUAUUGCACAAUGGGCGAAAGCCUGAUGCAGCAACGCCGCGUGAGUGAUGAAGGCCUUCGGGUCGUAAAACUCUGUCCUCAAGGAAGAUAAUGACGGUAUUUGAGGAGGAAGCCCCGGCUAACUACGUG